AUCAAUCUCUACUGUGGCUACUGCCAGAGCUGCUUGCCUCGAGGCAGACAUGAAACCAAUAUUGACGCUUAGUAUUAUGUUUCUGUUAGGGGUAGUGGCAGCGAGCCCACUCGGACCGUGCGGCUGCAAACCGGUGUUCGAAUAUUGCGCCAACGACUACACCACGUACCACAGCAUCUGCGAGUACAAGUGCAAACAUCCCUCCACCCCGUUCCAUGACUGGUAUAUUCUGUAUAACGGACCUUGCAUUUCUACGUCGGAGACUACAACUGAGCGGAGGACCACAACUACACGAAAGAUGUAUACAAAAAGUACUACAACCACGGAGUGGAUUACGGUCUCUAAUGCAAUGAAUGGAUAAACUAAUAAAUUAUGUUAUGUGCCAUUAAAAAUUGGAAUUCUUCAUAACAUUAUUUCACAUGCCAAAACACUGCCUGAAUUACUGAUUCGCUUAGUAUCGAUUCGUCUACCAUCGCGGAGAGCAGCAGCUUCAGCUUGCAAUCUGCGUCGGUUAGUUUGCUCCUGUUGAAGUUCUUCGUUACUGGUGGUUCUGUUAGGACUAGUGGUAGCGAGCCCAUCUAGACCGUGCGGCUGCAAACCGGUCUUCGAAUAUUGUGCCAACGACUUCACCACGUACCACAGCAUCUGCGAGUACAAGUGCAAACAUCCCUCCACCCCGUUCCAUGACUGGUAUAUUCUGUACAACGGCCCUUGCAUUUCUACGUCGGAGACUACAACUCACCGUAGGACUACAACUGAGUCGACAAUUACAACCGGGCCUACUAGUACUACGCCGACCACGACAUCUGCAUAUGAAUCGCAGGAGUAUAUUACUAACUCACUUAAUGGAUAGACUUAUCAUUUAGGGCGCAUGUAAUUAAAAUAUAACAUUUAAAAAAAGUUCUUCUCUAUUCUUUUUAAUUUUUUGCCCAUCUGGUGAUCAGUUAAAUAGCAGCCAAUUAUUAUGUUAAAUAUUUUCUAAAUAUACUUAACUGUAAUGUA